rnacentral:rRNA from 1 species
UAAACGACUCUCGGCAACGGAUAUCUCGGCUCUCGCAUCGAUGAAGAACGUAGCGAAAUGCGAUACUUGGUGUGAAUUGCAGAAUCCCGUGAACCAUCGAGUCUUUGAACGCAAGUUGCGCCCGAAGUCGUCAGGCCGAGGGCACGUCUGCCUGGGCGUCACAC